rnacentral:rRNA from 1 species
AGUAAUGUCUGGGAAACUGCCUGAUGGAGGGGGAUAACUACUGGAAACGGUAGCUAAUACCGCACAAUGUCGCAAGACCAAAGUGGGGGACCUUCGGGCCUCAUGCCAUCAGAUGUGCCCAGAUGGGAUUAGCUAGUAGGUGGGGUAACGGCUCACCUAGGCGACGAUCCCUAGCUGGUCUGAGAGGAUGACCAGCCACACUGGAACUGAGACACGGUCCAG